GACGAACGCUGGCGGCGUGCUUAACACAUGCAAGUCGAACGGAAAGGCCCUGCUUUUGUGGGGUGCUCGAGUGGCGAACGGGUGAGUAACACGCGAGUAACCUGCCCUUGACUUUGGGAUAACUUCAGGAAACUGGGGCUCAUACCGGAUAUGAUCUCCUGCUGCAUGGUGGGGGUUGGAAAGUUUCGGCGGUUGUGGCUGUACUCGCGGCGUAUCAGCUUGUUGGUCGGGUAGUGGCUUACCAAGGCUUGGACGGGUAGCCGACCUGAGAGGGUGAUCGGCGACACUGGAACUGAGACACGGUCCAGAGUCCUACGGGAGGCAGCAGUAGGGAAUCUGCCGCAAUGGGCGAAAGCCUGACGGAGCAACGCCGCGUGAGUGAUGAAGGUCUUCGGAUCGUAAAACUCUGUUAUUAGGGAAGAACAAAUGUGUAAGUAACUAUGCACGGCUUGACGGUACCUAAUCAGAAAGCCACGGCUAACUACGUG
rnacentral:rRNA from 1 species